rnacentral:lncRNA from 1 species
GUAUGUUGUGGAGAUAAAACAGCACUGAGCAUCAGUUACUCAUCUUCAGAUAUUUUUUGUUUAUGGUAUAUAUAUGGAAAUUAAAAACAUUGGAAACAAGAAGUAGAAAUAAAUUAUACAAAAAAAUGCUCCUGGGAGAUUAAUUUAGUUCUCAGAUGUGGGCAAAUUGUCUCUCUCCUGUUAUUUUUCCAUAUUGGACCCUAAAAUGAUACUGAACCAGUGAUAAUAUUCUGCAAAAUAUUAGUAUAUACAUAACUUACAUUUUGAGCAACAUAUAAAAACAAUGACAAAAACUGUAAUGAGCAUUAAAAAAUAAAAAAAUACAAAUCUGAUUGACCCCAAAAAAGCUUCCACUUGAUCCAAAUAUUGACUCAGUCUUAAUCAUAAUUCUUUAACCUGAAUUAGGCUGCAUCACUAUAAAAUUCAUACUUCCAAAUCAAGUUGGUUCGCACUAGUCAAAGGAUAUCAGAUAACUGAAACACUAGACUUUAUAGUCACCAUGAAAGUGCAUCAAAAACAAUAUAUCAGCACAAAGGAUCACUUUUAUAAUUAUAAAGACAUACAAGGCAAAUAUAUCUGGCAGUG